AUAAAUUAAAGAAGCCGAAUCAAGCGAUCGAGUAUUUUCUGGGGAGGCCGCAACAGCAACACGUCUUCAACCAUUAUGUGAAUCUCUAUCCAAUCACUCGCGGGAAAUUUCUCUCCAGCAAAAACUAUUUUGAGCGCCAUCUCUCUCCUAAACCAACGUUUUCUCCUUUCAAAUUCUGAAUCAUCAUGAAUUUUGGAGUUUCCACUUCCACGGACAUUGCAAUCUCCAUUCCGUCGCUUCACCUCUCCUCCUCUCCCCUUUCCUUCAAGUCCAGUGCUACGAUCUCACUUCAAUCUCCUAGAUUCCGGAAUGCGUAUUUCGGUAGCUUGUUUUUCGGUUCCCGCCGGAUUGCGCGAAGGAUCACCACUGUCGAAACACGCCAGUGUUCUUCUAAAGCCACGGAUGAUGAUUUCAUCAUUGAAGACGUUCCUCACUUGGCUGACUUUCUUCCUGACUUACCGUCGUAUGCAAAUCCACUGAAAAACAGUCAGGCGUAUGCAAUUGUCAAGGAAACUUUCGUAAAGCCAGAAGAUGUUGUUGCACAAAAAAUUGUAAUUACGAAAGAUAGAUCUAGAGGAGUACAUUUUCGACGUGCAGGUCCUCGUGAAAAGGUUUAUUUCAAGUCAGAUGAGGUGCGUGCUUGUGUAGUGACAUGUGGAGGUCUAUGCCCUGGAAUUAACACAGUGGUUCGGGAGAUUGUCUGUGGCUUGAACUUUAUGUAUGGCGUUGAUGACAUACUUGGAAUUGUGGGAGGAUACAGAGGGUUUUACUCAAAGAAUACAUUACAAUUGACGCCUAAAGUUGUUAACAAUAUCCACAAACAUGGUGGUACUUUUCUUCGUACUUCACGAGGAGGCCAUGAUACAAAUAAGAUUGUUGAUAAUAUCCAGGAUCGUGGCAUAAAUCAGGUGUAUAUCAUUGGCGGCGACGGUACUCAGAGAGGAGCAGCUUUAAUUUAUCAGGAAGUUGCAAAACGUGGUCUUCAAGUUGCUGUUGCUGGGAUCCCCAAGACGAUUGAUAAUGACAUUGCUGUGAUAGACAAAUCUUUUGGAUUUGAUACUGCGGUUGAAGAAGCACAGAGGGCCAUUAACGCUGCUCACGUGGAGGUUGAAAGUGUAGACAACGGAGUUGGAAUCGUUAAACUUAUGGGGCGCUAUAGCGGUUUUAUUGCCACAAUUGCAACUUUGGCAAGUAGAGAUGUGGAUUGUUGCUUGAUUCCAGAAUCACCAUUCUAUUUGGAAGGAACAGGAGGGCUCUUUGAAUUUAUAGAACAGCGGCUUAAAGAGAAUGGCCAUAUGGUUAUUGUGUUAGCAGAAGGCGCAGGACAGGAUUAUAUAGCUCAAGACAUGCAUACAGUAGAGGAGAAAGAUGCAUCUGGAAAUAGAUUACUUCAAGAUGUUGGUCCGUGGUUAUCUCAAAAGAUAAAGGAUCAUUUCACAAAGGUUCAGAAGAUGGCAAUUAAUAUGAAAUACAUAGAUCCUACAUAUAUGAUUCGAGCUAUUCCCAGUAAUGCCUCAGAUAAUGUAUAUUGCACUCUUCUUGCUCAGAGUGCUGUCCACGGUGCCAUGGCUGGAUACACUGGCUUUACUGUUGGACCUGUAAAUAGCAGACAUGCUUAUAUUCCGAUUGCUCGUGUUACGGAGACACAAAACACGGUGAAGUUAACCGGAAGAAUGUGGGCAAGACUUCUUGCGUCUACGAAUCAGCCUAGUUUCGUGACAUAUAAUGAGGCUCUGUGCGAAGACGCUGCUAAUAUCAACAACGCUGAGAUUUCUACUCAGCUUUAACGCCCAUCAGUUCAAUUCAAGUUGGACCAAUCUCACUUCCGGAUUCUUUCAUGUUACCAGUCAGUUUAUUGGUCUGGCAAUUAGGAUUUUUAUGAGGUAUAUCUGCUUUAAAUAAGGCCUCCAUACUCUUACAGUUAUUUCAUUAAUCAUAUCUUAUGUUGAGUUCUAAAGGAGCAACACUCUAAUGUGCGCGGGCAUAGGCAUAAAAGGGACUCGAUGCGAUGCCAAAGAAUACUCUUUUGAUACACAAGCUCAGAGGAGCUUGAAACAAUGACAAUUUCUUCUUUCAUUUCCACUUUCACGCCCGCAUCUCAAUGAGACAGCAGGGUCAGAGCAGCUGCGAGGGGUACAAUUCUGGGCCACCAACUUGACCUCCUUUAUUAUAUGUAAGGACAAGCGCAGCCUCUUUUUUGUCUGUUUCUUCAUUAAAUGAUUGCUGGUUGACAGAGAGACAUCUUAACUAGUUUUUAUUUUUUAUUUUAUUACUUUUAUAACAUAAAAUAUAGUACAGAUAUUUUGCUUUGAAAGUUAUCAGAUCUCUGUCGACUAGAUUUAGAUGUU